GCAGUUGUCAUCAACAAACCUCUCUUUUCCUACACAAAAAUGGCGAAAAGUAAUUUGAAAUUUGUAUUCGUGGUCUCCCUUUUAAUGGCCGCCUUUUAUAUUUCAGUGUCUGAAGGCGGCGGUGGGAACCACCAUUGCAUACCGGAACACCCCGGUUGCGGCCACGGCGGUGAGGACAAUGCGAUGGAAAUGGAAUAUCAUUGCAAACGUAAUACCGAUUGUGUGCAUUUGUGUGGGUUCAGGUGGGGUCGUUGCGUUCAUGGAAGUUGUCGUUGCUUCAACGCCUAAACUUUCGUCACCGUGUUUUGGUUUUGUUAAUAAGUGGAGAAUAAAUAAAAUAUGUGACUUUUAUA